rnacentral:ncRNA from 1 species
UGAUUAAGCGCCAGAACUUAAAUAGCAUACACGCCCUGUGUAUAUCCAUAUCUCAAGUGGAAGUUUAAGUUGACGAGGAUGGGGAGUAUCGAAGACUUCGGCGGAUGCCCCACGGUAAAACACUACCGAUAGCCAUUGAUAAAACCAAGGAGUGAUUCUUGGAACAAAUUCAAUGUGG